UCUCCUGGAAAACGGGUGGUAAUGCCGGAUGUUCCAGUUGAUCGCAUGGUCUUCUGGGAAAGCUUUCGCGGUAUGGGAUGGGGUCGCGUCCUAUCAGCUUGACGGCGGGGUAACGGCCCACCGUGGCUUCGACGGGUAGCCGGCCUGAGAGGGCGACCGGCCACAUUGGGACUGAGAUACGGCCCAGACUCCUACGGGAGGCAGCAGUGGGGAAUAUUGCACAAUGGGCGCAAGCCUGAUGCAGCGACGCCGCGUGAGGGAUGGAGGCCUUCGGGUUGUAAACCUCUUUUAUCGGGGAGCAAGCGAGAGUGAGUUUACCCGUUGAAUAAGCACCGGCUAACUACGUGCCAGCAGCCGCGGUAAUACGUAGGGUGCAAGCGUUAUCCGGAAUUAUUGGGCGUAAAGGGCUCGUAGGCGGUUCGUCGCGUCCGGUGUGAAAGUCCAUCGCUUAACGGUGGAUCCGCGCCGGGUACGGGCGGGCUUGAGUGCGGUAGGGGAGACUGGAAUUCCCGGUGUAACGGUGGAAUGUGUAGAUAUCGG
rnacentral:rRNA from 1 species